rnacentral:rRNA from 1 species
AGUGAACGCUGGCGGUAGGCCUAACACAUGCAAGUCGAACGGCAGCACAGUAAGAGCUUGCUCUUACGGGUGGCGAGUGGCGGACGGGUGAGGAAUACAUCGGAAUCUACUUUUUCGUGGGGGAUAACGUAGGGAAACUUACGCUAAUACCGCAUACGACCUACGGGUGAAAGCAGGGGAUCUUCGGACCUUGCGCGAUUGAAUGAGCCGAUGUCGGAUUAGCUAGUUGGCGGGGCAAAGGCCCACCAAGGUGACGAUCCGUAGCUGGUCUGAGAGGAUGAUCAGCCACACUGGAACUGAGACACGGUCCAGACUCCUACGGGAGGCAGCAGUGGGGAAUAUUGGACAAUGGGCGCAAGCCUGAUCCAGCCAUACCGCGUGGGUGAAGAAGGCCUUCGGGUUGUAAAGCCCUUUUGUUGGGAAAGAAAAGCAGCAGGUUAAUACCCCGCUGUUCUGACGGUACCCAAAGAAUAAGCACCGGCUAACUUCGUG